rnacentral:lncRNA from 1 species
UUAAUUAUAGUUUAUAGAUUAUAGAUAACCUAAAAGAAAAUAAUAGAUAAUACAAAUCAAACCUUUUUUUGGUGACAUUCUUCUUCCUUGCUUUAAAUCCUUUUAGAGAUAAGUAUUGACCUUCAAAGAACAGAGUAAGGCUAGGAUCGUGUAGAGGUAGGAUUACAGCUAUAGCCGUCAGCCAAUAACCCUCGGCGGCCGCAGCCAAAUAAGAUUGCUGAAAAUCGUGGGAAUGAAUCACUCGUAUUAGGAUUUGUAGUGAUAAAACUAUGAAUAGGAGGGGGCGGAAGAGAGAAGAGAGAGAGAGAAAGAGAGAGGUAGUGGGAAAAUAGGGAGAGAGCAAGGUGAAAGAAAAAGAAAAAGAAAACUGAAUUGAUGUAUUGUAAAACUGAAACGAAGGAUCCACUUAUCCGAAAACAAGGAGAGGCCUUCAAGCUUGUUGAAGGUUCACCCUUUAAUGUAAUUGUAUUGAUUAUUUGGCUAAAUUAGGGAUCAACGAUUUAUUCAUGCUA